AUUGAACGCUGGCGGCAGGCCUAACACAUGCAAGUCGAACGGUAGCACAGAGAGCUUGCUCUCGGGUGACGAGCGGCGGACGGGUGAGUAAUGUCUGGGAAACUGCCUGCUGGUGGGGGAUAACUACUGGAAACGGUAGCUAAUACCGCCUAAUGUCGCACGACCAAAGAGGGGGACCUUCCUGCCUCUUUCCAUCGGAUGUGCCCAGAUGGGAUUAGCUAGUUGGUGGGGUAAUGGCUCACCAAGGCGACGAUCCCUAGCUGGUCUGAGAGGAUGACCAGCCACACUGGAACUGAGACACGGUCCAGACUCCUACGGGAGGCAGCAGUGGGGAAUAUUGGACAAUGGGCGCAAGCCUGAUGCAGCCAUACCGCGUGGGUGAAGAAGGCCUUCGGGUUGUAAAGCACUUUUAGCGGGAAAGAAGAGCAUACGGUUAAUAACCGUCUUGUUUGACGUUACCCAAAGAAGAAGCACCGGCUAACUUCGUG
rnacentral:rRNA from 1 species